rnacentral:lncRNA from 1 species
GGAGCCUCUUUGCUCCAAAAGCUUGCUUCUUCACCUUCUUCUCCUUCUUUUCCUUCUCUUCUUCCUUUCUUUCCUUCUUCUUCUUCUCCUUCUUUGUCUUCUAGAGAGAGAAAGGGAGGAGUGAGUGUGAGAGGGUGAGAAAUGAGAGAAAUUUCUCAUUUACCCCCAUACUAUACUCAAUGGGUUGCAAAAUUGCUAUUAAACCCCUCAACUUUCACUUUAAUGCACUACCCGAACUGGGCAGUUCGCGCAGGCAGAGACCGGUCUCCCCGAGCAGGGACCGGUUCCCGAACGUUGUCCCAGCGCAGCCAGAGCUGCUGCGCGCAGAGCAACCGGUCUCUCCUUAUGGGACCGGUCUCUGGGGGACCGGUCUCUCAGGCAGAGACCGGUUCCCGAGAGCUAUCCUUCCAGGACUUAGCCGAUUUUUCGGCUGUCUCAUUCUGUACGCGUUCGGGGACCGGUCUCUCCCACCAGGGACCGGUCCCCGAGAGCUCAAAAGCUGCAGUUUGCAGAAUUUGAUUCUUUAGCUCUCGAAAACCUUCCGUAACUCACUUUUGAUCAUUUUAACACCUUCGGACCCUCCGAGUGUACCAUCCUCACACCUUGGUCAAUUUGACUAAAGUUCGGUAUUUAUCUUCCGAAUUUUCGGUAUAUUACAUUCUCCACCCCUUAAAAUAAUUUCGUCCGCGAAAUUACGCAUACCUUAACUCGUCGAUUCGAAUAGAUGCGGGUACUCUUUCCGCAUUGACUCCUCGAGCUCCCAAGUGGCUUCUCGCACAUCGUGGUUGCUCCACUGGACUUUCACAUAAGGGAUCUUGCGACUCCACAACUUCUUAACUUCUCGAUCGAGGAUGCACACGGGGUACUCCUCAUAGGACAUGUCUUCACGUAGCUCCACGGGCUCAUAUUCCAAUACAUGUGCCGCGUUUCGGAUAUACUUUCGAAGAUUCGACACAUGAAACACAUUGUGAACUCCCGCGAGUCUCGGUGGUAGUGCGAGCUUGUAUGCCACCGCACCCACACGCUCUAAUAUCUCAAACGGUCCGACAUAACGGGGACUUAACUUCCCACGGACCCCAAAUCGUUUAACUCCUCGCAUCGGCGAUACUCUUAAGAAUACACGGUCUCCAACCGCGAACUCUAAAUCCUUUCUUCUCUUGUCGGCAUAACUCUUUUGCCGAGAUUGUGCUGCCGCUAACCGUUGACGGGCAAGGCGAACUUUCUCUUCCGCUUCCCGCACUACGUCCGGGCCGAGAGCCGCUCUCUCGCCCACGUCGCUCCAAUGGAUAGGAGAACGACACUUUCGACCAUAUAGUGCCUCAAAAGGCGCCAUCGCUAUGCUUUCUUGGUAACUAUUAUUGUAGGCAAACUCCGCCAUAGGCAAGAAAUCAUGCCAUCCACCCUUGUAAUCCAGCACACACGCUCGAAGCAAAUCCUCAAGGAUUUGUAUCGUUCGCUCUGAUUGUCCAUCACUCUGGGGAUGAAACGCCGUGCUAAAAUCGAGCCGCGUGCCUAGCGCGUCUUGCAAACUCUUCCAGAAAUGGGACGUGAACCUGGAGUCGCGAUCCGACACGAUCGAUACUGAAACCCCAUGAAGUCUCACAACCUCGUCGAGAUAAACUUGCGCUAGCUUGUCUCCCGACCACGUAGUAUGUAUCGGCAAGAAGUGUGCCGACUUUGUCAAUCGAUCCACUAUCACCCAUAUCGCAUCAUGUCCGCCUUGUGAUCGAGGCAAACCGGUAACAAAGUCCAUCGCUAUAUUUUCCCAUUUCCAAACGGGUAUUGGUAGACUUUGUAGCUUUCCCGCCGGGAAUCGGCGCUCUGCUUUAACUUGUUGGCACGUUAGACAUUGCGCCGCGAACUCCCCAAUAUCUCUUUUCAUACCCGGCCACCAAUAGUGCUCUUUCAAGUCCUUGUACAUUUUAGUGCCGCCGGGGUGUAUGCUAUAGGGAGAUUGGUGCGCUUCCUGCAUAAUCGCCCUUCGCAACUCAUCAUCUUUAGGCACACACCAUCGAUUUCGGAAUCGAAGUGCGCCAUCAGCUCCAACGCCAAAGUCUUCGGCUUUACCGUUCUCAACAUCAUCUCGAAUCUUUUGGAGAUAAGGAUCCGAGGUUUGUAACUCUUUAACUCUCUCAAAUAGGGUCGGUUGCACAACUAAUGCGGUAAAUGUAGCCGGCACUCCUGGCGCUACCACUUCCAACCCAAAUCUUUGCAUUUCCUUUUGCAAUAGCGGUUGAGGCGUAAUUGCCGUCGCUAAGUUCUCCGCCGACUUUCUGCUCAAGGCAUCGGCCACGACAUUGGCUUUUUCCGGGUGGUAUAAUAUGGUGACAUCAUAGUCCUUCAGCAACUCUAACCACCGCCGCUGUCGCAUGUUCAACUCCUUCUGGGUGAACAAAUACUUCAGGCUCUUGUGAUCGGUAUACACCUCACAAUGUUCACCAUACAAGUAAUGCCUCCACAGCUUUAGCGCGAAAAUCACCGCAGCUAACUCGAGGUCGUGAAUCGGGUAGUUCUUCUCGUAACUCUUUAACUGGCGCGAUGCAUAAGCAAUAACUCGCCCAUUCUGCAUUAAUACACACCCGAGACCAACAUACGAGGCAUCACUGUACACUACAAAGGUCUCUCCCGGAGUUGGCAAGGCAAGCACCGGGGUCGAUGUCAACCUGUUCUUUAGCUCCUCGAAGCUCCGAUCGCAAUCGUCGCUCCAAACAUACUUUACUCCUUUAUGCGUGAGGCGCGUUAGUGGAGUGGUUAUUUUGGCAAACCCCUCCACGAACCGCGAUAGUAGCCCGCCGAGCUCACAGAAACUCGCGCGAUCUCGACUACAUUCGCUCGGGGCGAGGCCAUCCUUGAUUGCCUCAUUUCUUUGGUCUACCGAAACUCCGUCGCGGAUUUUACCACAUACCAAGAUGUGACCUCCCUUAGCCAAAAGAGUCACAUUUCUUUACUUUGCAUAGAGCUUCUCUUGUCUGCAGUAUGCAAACACGAUCUCAGAUGCUCUUCGUGCUCUCCUUCAGCUCUGUUUGAAUAAACCAACACGCUCGUCUUUAUAAACACCACGACGCAUCGAUCCAACAACGGCCUAAAGACUCGAUUCAUCAAAGUCCAUAACGCGGGCUGCCGGGCGUUAGUAGCCCAAACGCAUUACCGUUGAACUAUAAAUCCCAUACCGCGUACGGUACGGCGUUUUGUACACAUUCUUUCGCCUGAUCUUUAAUGAUGAUACCCGAUGCGAGAUCAACUUUCGAAUACACUUGGACCUUGCAACUGAUCGAAUAAGAUCGUUCUCAUCCUUGGCAACGGGUACUUGUUCUUUAUUAGUUACUUGUUUCAACUCAGCGAUAAUCUACGCAGAGUCGAAGUGUUGCCAUCCUUUUUUUUCACAAAUAGCCCGAGAGCUCCCACGGUGACACCUUGGCCUCACGAAGCCUUAUGAGCAAGUCUUUGCAUGACCUUUUUAGUCCUUUAAACUCCUCCGGUGCCUUCUGUACGGAGCCUUCGAACUGGCUCCGCCCGGGAAUCAAGUCAAUGACAAACUCAAUUCCCGGUCCGGUGGCAGUCCGGUAACUCCGCCGGGAAAUACAUCGGGUACUCGACACUACUCGACAUGUCUCCCAACUCUGGGUAACUCCUUUCGACGCGUCCACCAUGGUUGCCAAUAGGCCUCACCCUCCUUUAUCAUUCUCUUCGCCUCACAGACGAUUUAUAGUCGGCGCGAAGGCCUACUUUUGCAAUGCUUUGUAGAUUAACUCUUCUUGAAUUAGGCUCACGAAAAAGUGAAUCACCUUGCUUUCACAAUCUAUUCACCCAUAGUACUUCAAGAGCCAGUUGCCGUUCCCAAGAUCAUCGAAUCCCCACAUCUGAUCUAGCACUAGCAGAUCAAUCGGAUAAUUCCAAUCGCCUUUUGCUACUUGGACACGCCAAACACUCGUUUAUGAACACUGAAGGUAAUGUCUCGGGGCGUUCACCCACCAAGUAAUCUCUUGUACACCAUCUCCUAUUGCCAUAGUUUUUAGCAAAUGAAGUGCUAAUAACAUGAAUUGAGAUGCGCCUGUAUCAAACACUGCUCUAGCCCUUGCCUUUAAUCACAAUUAUACGCCACGGACGUCGUCAGGGGCUGCAGCGUUUUGUUGCUCCUCACCUGAGCGGCAAAGACUCGGGCGCUGCGCUCUCAUUCCCUCGGCUGACGCGGUGAUUGACGCCGCGCCCAGCCGACAUCUGCUGUGGUAAACCCCGCAAGCGUCUCGGGCUGUAGACGGUGUUUGAAAUGCCUGCCGUCGGCGAGGGACGGACGUCCAGGACGGCACUCCCGGUGACACUGUCCCGGUUUGGCCACACUUGAAACACUUGCCAUCGCCUGGGUCAAGUCUCACCUUGAUGCUCAUCCGCACAUAUAACACAUCGAGCGGUCUCCAGAUUUCUCGACUGCUUGUCGGGAUUACCGAGCGGGGUUUUCUUAGUAUUCGGCCGGCCGCCCGCACCGGCCCGCCGUUUUUUUCUUGCCCUUUCCUUGGACUCGGCAAUAGCUUCACGUUCCUGCACGUACAUGGGCGCUACCAUGCUUACCGCCACAAAGCUCGAUCAAAGACCUCCGCAAGCGUCGACAACUCAAUAAUCUGCACCUUCUCAUAAAUCCGGGGUUUGAAGUUCCUCGCAAUAACAUCCGUCCAGGACUCCCGAUCAUCACGACAACGUCCGGGAAACGCAAUCGAUGAUGUGAGAGAAUUCAUUGCCUCGUAUUUCCCACCGAAUCGAUCACCUUGCCUUUACUUGCGGAACUUUUAUCUUUGCAACUUUUCCGCUUACCCGUGUCGGAAGUUAGUUCGCGCAACUUACGCUUCUCUUGAACUUCCUACCAAAGCAUAAGCGAAGAUGGCCUAGGUCGAUUCCGCGCUUCACACGCUUCGCACCACACUUUUUGCCGCUUUCUCAAAGACAAUGGGUGGCGAGGUAACUUUAUCUUCUCCAAGGUAUUAAGGCGUCUCGAACGAGGUUUCCAUGAAUCGAUCCACGACUUCCACGAUCGCCGGGCUCCACCAAACCGCCUCGAAGGUAGGUGGGUCGGACUUCUUUGAAUUGGAUAUAAGCGCCGACCAACGUGCGCUUCGCUCCGCUUCUACCGCCCGCACUAUCGGGAAUUCGAUUCCCGACCCCGGCCGAUACCACGAUGUACUUGGAACAGCUGCGCCGGCGCCGCCCCUACCAACGCUCGGCACUACCGCCUAGUGGGCCACGCGCAUGCUCGCGCCCCUGGAGCCGCCGCCCCCUGCUGCGCGCUCAAAGUCUCCUGGACGGCGCUGAAUCUGGUUCCCCUGGCGUCUGAACAGAUCCGCUUGCUGCGCCUACCUACGCCAUAAGCGCGGCGCAUUUGCUCUUAAGCUCUCCGUCGCCCACUUGCUCCGGCACUUGCUCGGCCCGCAUUCGUUCCUCCGGGCAUCCGACCUCGUCUGCGAUCGACGUCGAGGUGCCAUUUGCUUCCUGAAAGAAGCAAACUCGUAUUAGUCACUUGACAACUUUAUACUUACCUACCCAAUUAUGGCCGAAAGCAAAUGCAUAUUCAUCCUUGCCUCAAAGCGUGCAUGUCUCGGCGGUCCGACACAAUACUAGAAGGUAGAGCGAACAAACGAAAAUUAAACUUAGCUCUAAUCACAUUAGAGGACAUCCCAACUACCCAAUCGCAUGCUUUCGCUAACUUUGAUCCACGUCCUCACGUUUCCUAGAUCCUUAAGGUCUUCCAAUCUAAGGGGGGUCUCAUAGGUCCAUUCCUAUUUCUUUCACCAUUUGGCUCUGAUUACCAACCUAUCUGUCACGCCCCGGAAUCGAUGCCAAUCGCAAUGGGCCCGCCGACCGGGCCGUCAAACAUGCGCGAAGGACAGAGUUUCCCCUAUCCGCCCAAGGUCUCACACGUACAUUUCUUCAUCGUUAGGGAGGAAAAGCACUUGCGGAAACAUAUACAACAGCUUACACGAGGGUAAGCAAUAGCCAUAACAGUGAAAGGGGGAAAGGAAAACUAAGACAUUCACAAGUAAUAUGAUUCAUUUUAGAUUUUUUUUUUUUCCCUAAAUACAUGACAUCACUCUUAAAUUUAAGAUUUUUUCUGUUUCUUACUAAUAAUCUCAUUCAGUUCUUAUUCUUACAACACCAUUUACCUCAAAAUAAGACUUUACUUCUUUCUGUUACAUCACAAAUCAUCAGAAUACAAAGAUUUGAUACAGGUGUCUAUAACAAAAUGUAAACCCAACUCGGUGGCCUUCUGACUAAGGCGCGAUACUUUACCUCGCGAUCGCUCGCCGGUUCGCUCGGUCCCGGCUCUAGUGAAAUUAGUGGGCGUGAGAAUACAACAAGUUCCCAGUGGGUUCGGCUCAACAUCGCCGACUUUCCACUAGACUAACCCAGGGCAUAAUAGAAAGGAUAAGCCGGGAUAUAGUAACCAAUCUACAACAUGAUGCUAAAUAUGCUGAACAAAAGCAGGAAUUGCUCACAUAAUGAUGCAGGUUAUGCCAUGGUUCUUUAGUGUCUUUUCACUUUACUCUUGCUUCUUUAUUCUUUGUUCUUUGCUCUUUACUCAUUAAGGCUAAACCGGGGAGGUUUCGCACAUAACUUGCCUCACGCUAAUCAUCAUCGCAGGAACUCACCAGGCUAGUGACCGUCCUUUCGGGUCUACUCCAACCCGUAUGCAUUAACUCCGGGCGCAUCGCCCGAGGGGAACCGACGCUCGAGCCACACGGAACUCAACAGCAAGUCUUAUCAUAUCCUUUUAAACUCAAAGGAUUAUGUUUCAAUCUUGACUUUACACUAGCUCUUAGUGUUCUUUUUACAUCACUUUAUGUUUGCAACUAUGCCAAUCACAUCUUUACAUAUUCAUUACUACUUGCUAACUCUAGCAUUCUUGCUCCUUACUUUUCUCGUUCUUAUUGUUUUUUUUUUUGUUUGCGCCCACUUUUACUUUGCUUUACGCGUGUCAUUUUUUCAUCAUUUCUUUUCAUCACUUUGGUUCUUCACAUCACACUAACUCUAGUGUCUCUUUACUUUACAUUUUUCAAAUGCCACUCGAUUCUAUGUCAUGUGCCACUCGGUUCUUUUGCUCACUUUGGCGGUGUCACAUUUCUCUCAUUGCAUACAUCUAGGGUUUUCGACAUUCAUUUGGUUCUCAACCAUCUCAUUAUGCAAGUUGUGCUCACAUCAUGCAAUCAUCACAUUCUCAUUACUUACCCUAAUAGCAAUGCAACAAUAUAUAGCAAAUAUGCUCAAGAAUGAACAUUUAGGCAUUAGAGAAAUUUCAUGAGUUGAGAAGCACCCACCCACCUCGUAGGCUUCAAAGGAUGGCUCCGACGAUUUUCUCGGGAUCUUAUACUCUUUGCUCUUCACCUGCGGCAAACGACCCUAUAUUAGGCCAUUUUGGCCCUAACUUUUUCAUUCCGACUUUUCUGUAACGUUAAUCCGAACGCACCAACGCGUCGGAAAUACCCCAAUUAGCGUUUUCUUAGAGGGUCAAUUGCACUUAGAAACCCUCAUGAGCAAAACCCCCAAUUUUGGUGCCCUUAGCUCCAAAGCAUGGUAUCAAACCUAGGCGUUUGAUCUCAAAGGUAGAAACAAAGUUAGCUUUCAUUACACUCUACAAUAGUCCAUCUAGAACCUUCUUAGCCUUUCCACAAUCUUAGUUUAGGAUUUCACGCCAUUAGAGGUGGUCCAAGCUCACCUAUAUAGCAAACUAGGUUUGACUCUAAAAGACGCAAAGAAAGCUUAAAACUACUAGACUUCAUUAAAACCAUUUCUUAGGUUCAUUUCAAACCCAUUUCUAGGGUUUUACUAUCAUUAGGGUUCAAUGCUACCUCAAGCUUUCCUUUUCUUCAAGCUAGAGAAUGAAGGAGAAGGAGUUUCUUCACUUCUUCUUUCUUCUUUCACUUUCUUCCUCUUCUUUUCCUUUUCUUCUUCCUUUUUCUUCUUCUUCUCUUUUUGUCUUCUAGAGAGGAGAGGCGAGAGAAGAGAGUGUGACGAGGUGAGGAAAUGAGAGAACAUAUCUCAUAUUGCGCCUCAUACUUAGCCUAUUGGGUUUCAAAAUUGCAGCUUUAACACCCCUCAACUUUCACUUAAUACGCUCCCGAACUGGCUGAUUCGCGCAGGCAGAGACCGGUCUACCCCGAGCAGGGACGGUCCCGAACUCAGGUCCCAGCGCAGCCAGCUGCUGCGCGCAGAGCAACGGUCUCUCCUUAUGGGACCGGUCUCUGGGGGACCGGUCUCUCAGGCAGAGACCGGUUCCCGAGAGCUAUCCUUCCAGAACUUAGCCGAUUUUUCGGCUGUCUCAUUCUGCACGCGUUCGGGGACCGGUCUCUCCCUUUAGGGACCGGUCCCCGAGAGCUGAAAAUCUGCAGUUUCGCAGAAUUUGAUUCUCUAGCUCUCGAAAACCUUCCGUAACUCACUUUUGAUCAUUUUAACACCUUCGGACUUUCCGAAGUGUACCGUCCUCGCACCUUGGUCAAUUUGACUAAAGUUCGAUAUUUAUCUUCCGAAUUUUCGGUAUAUUACAUCCCGCGUACCAAACACCCACAAACAGAUUCGUCCAUUCCGAUUCCAAUUCCAGGGUGAAAAAGAAGUGAACCAAACACGCCCCAGAUCUCUACGGCACUUAUCCGAAUAGCUUUUCUGUCGAGAUUGCGCUGUAAGAAAAUCAUGUGUACGCAGCGAAAGAAAAUAAC